rnacentral:lncRNA from 1 species
CCACCCAUUUGAACCAAUCAGAGUACUCUUUUGGCCGCCAUAUUACUAGCAUAAGUAGGAGCAGCUCCUCUUGUUUUAGGGAGAACCGCAGCAUGCAAUGAGAAGUAUGUUGUGCAUGCAAUAAGAGUUAAUGUAGAGAUUAUAUAUAUAGGGAGAUUAGGAAAGAAAAGAGAGUGGAAGAAAUAUAUGGUGAUUAGGCUUGAUCAAGGAGCUUGCUCAAGUAUGUGAAACUCAGUUAUUUUGGUAGUGACGUGAAUAAGUACGUGGAGCUUAGCUAUUCCGGUAGUGACGUAGAUCUUUGUUUUAUCUUUGGAAUCCAGGUAGGAGAAAUACGGCAGACCUUUACGGAAUUUUAUUUUAUUAAAUUUCGUGAAGUGUUAUAAUAUUUUUGAUCUUUUUGGUUGAUUAAUGUGGUUGGAUUUUAAUUGGCUAAUUAUUUCAGUUAAGUGUUUACUUGUUAUUGGUUAUGGAAUUAUUGCUGGAAUGCUAUUCAUUGAGAAUAUACUGUGAUAUAUGUGAAAGAUGAAAUGACAUUAUUUGUGCAUCACUCAUAUUGUGAGAUGUGGUUGGAAUUUUAGUGUUGAGAUUGGAAUUCGGGAAAUGAGGGUAGUUAGAAAUGAUCUUUUGUGUAGUUGAAUCUAUUCAUUGUGAAACUAGUUCCAAGUGAGCCCGAUGUGCACAUUAGAAUAGGAUAUCGGCGAGAUAAUUGUCGAUGUGGGUGGUUUGGGUUAGAGAUCAAUGAAUUAGAUAAGAUGACUAGCAAAAUGGGUUUAUGAACUUGGGAUAUCGUAUGAGGGUUAGUUUCUAUAAUAGAAUAUUCGAACCACCACUCCAUUGGUAAAAUGCAUGGUAUGAGACGUGCAGGUUUGCGUGUUUUAUUAUAUAAAUUUAUGGGGAUAGCCGAAGAGGUUGGACUGCAUUCAUGCAUUGUUAUCAAUAAUAAUUUGAUAUAUGGCUAUAUGAUUUCAUGACACUUUAUUUAACAUUGUUAAUUUAUUGUGGUAAGGUUAUGUCCCUAUUGAGCUAUUGAAGCUCACCCUUCUAUUGUUAUGCAGGUUUACAAACUAGAUAUUCAAGAGGGUAGGCAUGAUGAGAUCAGAUUAGAUAUGAGAAUAGAAUGUGGGAAGUGUUAUUGGCACUCCAAAAAUCUCAUUCUACACUCCUCACAAGUGUAUUUUUCUUUCCAAAUGUAGAAAGUUUGGAAUGUAGAAUGAGAUUUUUGGAGUGCCAAUAACAAUUCCCUAGAAUGUUUAUUCAUCUAUUUAUUGUAGGUUGUAGAUAAUUCUUGAUUUCUUUAAGAAUCAUGAAUUAUUUUUAUAAGAAGAAAUAUAUUUUCCAGGCGAUUUCAAUUUCUUUUUAUUUAUUGAGCUUUUAACUCACGUUUCGGAUUUGGGUUCGAGUUUUUAUUGCUGACCUGGGUCUAGGCCUGGCAAACGGGUCGUGUCAGUCGUGUUCGUGUAACACCUAUUAUCUUAACGGGUCGUGUCGUGUCACACCUGUUAUCUUAACGGGUCCUUAACAGGUCGUGUCACUUUACCCAACGGGUAAAGUGACCCGACCCGUUAUGACCCGUUAAGAAAAAUAUUUUUUUUUCUUAAAUUUGCACAUACCACACAUUGCCACAUAAAUAUUACUUCAAAACAUUAAAACACAUUUGUCGUUUAAGUACUACGUCUACACUCGAAAAUAAGAGCCUAAUAAAAAAAUAAUACAUACACUACUAAUCUAUUACAAAUUUUAAAUGUG